UCAUCACGUCGAUCAAUGAAUAGUCAAUUUGCACAAAAUGCAGCCACACAAUUGCACUUACAUCUUGACACUGAUCUUUUAUAUUUAGGAAAAUGCAACAUAGUUUGUCUGCUGAGAAAAGUGCAACAGAAAAGUGCAACAUUGUUGCGUUGGUAGGAACCGAUUCCCGUGGUAAAAUUAUCAUUUUGCAGUGGACAAUAUUCAGAAAGUUAUGAAACGUUAUAAUGGUGAAAAUGCACCAACCUCUGAAUGCCAAGAUGAGAUGGGUUGUAUCCCAGUGUCAGACUUUGUUAACUCUAAAUAUUUAUGCUCUUCUCAAAUUGCCAAUAUCAGUGCAAAGUUUACUAAACACAGAAACAGACAACAUAAAGUAGUGAAAAACUUAUCAUUGUCAACGUAUGUAAGGAUGGUCCAAAGUGAAUAUUUUGGGGCGAAACCGAAUCGUUUUGAAUGCAACUGUAAGGUUCCGUGGAACUGCACCGAUAUUCAGAUCACUUUGGUAUCCUGCAACUCCAAAACGAUAUCUCGAGUCGAGGCGUUCUUAGCCAGAUGCUGAGCUGCUCUGUGUUUGUUUACAGGGUAGCUGUGUGGCUCGAGGGCAUAGCACUUCCUGCCCUUUGCGGGAACAAAGGUGUUCCCCAAUACAUGUAUCCUCACACUCCCAAGUAAAAAGGCUAAUAAGGGCUCUCAAAUUCAUGUUUUUAAUCCAUAUAAAAGGGUGAGUUCAACCUGGUAUGCACGUUACAGAUUUGGGACGGUUCUAAAAUUGUACCCAAGGUAGAAUUGGCUGUAAUCAUCAUUUCAGGAAGCAUCACUCUGAGAAAUAUCAUCCAAGACAAAAAAUGUGGUUUUACACGAUUCGCCCGUUGCUGGUAGUUUUCAAUGAAGCCAUGUUUUUGGUCCUCUGUUUGAAUCCAUCCUUUCAAUUCACUUGUGUUCCAUUGCUGCACAACUUUCCAAGAGUACGUGUUACUAUCUCAUAAAGGCCACAUGUAGAAAGGUGUCGGGUCUCAAAAUAAACCAAGAAGGCAAGAACUAACCCCAAAAGUGGUCUCCAUAAAUGCAGAUACAUUUAACUUUUGAUAUGAGGAGAAGCUUCUUCAGUAUGUAUUGACUUGACGUUAACCCUCUAUUCUAUUGAAUCAAAUUAUCCCCUUUUCCGUUGUAGUUAUCAUCCAGCGACACCCCCAAAACACUAUUCAUUGUCAGUAAUUGAAAAAAAUGUCGAAAUAAACCACGGCGCAUCAAUCGCAUGGAUUAAUCCCAAGAAGGCAAAACGGGUAAGAACUUAAGCUGUACAGACAAGUGGGCAAAAUACGACUGAAGCGACAGGCUUUUAUCCAUCGAAGCUCUGUCUCAUGAAGCAAAACCGGCAUGUGUUGAUGACUAUCAGAAUCUAUCGAAAAAUCACACAUCACUAAAUGCACUCAAAAAAGCCCGACUCCAUCGCGCCCGUGUUCGCGUGGUCAAAAAGAUGCCCGCAUGCUACACCGAAGACGUAUAUGUUUACUUUCCGCAUGUAAUUAUGUCUCUAUUUAAUUAUAAGAAAAUAUAAUUUUAAUAUAAAUAUAUUUUAUAAUUUAUAUUUUUUAUAUAUUUAAUUAUAAUUAUAAAUAUAAUUUAAAAUAAAAAAGAAAAUAAGGGCCAUAAAAGUAAAGAAAAAAGUUGCCGCGAUGGAUUUCACACUUUCCAAAAAAAAAAAGCUAAAA